rnacentral:rRNA from 1 species
GACGAACGCUGGCGGCGUGCCUAAUACAUGCAAGUAGAACGCUGAAGCGAGGAGCUUGCUCUUCUUGGCUGAGUUGCGAACGGGUGAGUAACGCGUAGGUAACCUGCCUUGUAGCGGGGGAUAACUAUUGGAAACGAUAGCUAAUACCGCAUAACAAUGGAUGACACAUGUCAUUUAUUUGAAAGGGGCAAUUGCUCCACUACAAGAUGGACCUGCGUUGUAUUAGCUAGUAGGUGAGGUAAUGGCUCACCUAGGCGACGAUACAUAGCCGACCUGAGAGGGUGAUCGGCCACACUGGGACUGAGACACGGCCCAGACUCCUACGGGAGGCAGCAGUAGGGAAUCUUCGGCAAUGGGGGCAACCCUGACCGAGCAACGCCGCGUGAGUGAAGAAGGUUUUCGGAUCGUAAAGCUCUGUUGUAAGUCAAGAACGGGUGUGAGAGUGGAAAGUUCACACUGUGACGGUAGCUUACCAGAAAGGGACGGCUAACUACGUG